ACAGUGGUAGUUCUGUGGUUAAGACAUUUGCUCUUGAUCAGAAGGUCAUGAGUUCAAACCCCAGCGCUACCACUGUU